rnacentral:pre_miRNA from 1 species
AGGACUUAGCUUGCUCCGUGAACAGUUCAGUGAAAACCUGUGUUCACAGUGGCUAAGUUCCGC